rnacentral:rRNA from 1 species
UACGUAGGGGGCAAGCGUUGUCCGGAUUUAUUGGGCGUAAAGAGCGUGUAGGCGGUCAGGUAGGUCCGUUGUGAAAACUCGAGGCUCAACCUCGAGACGCCGAUGGAAACCAUCUGACUAGAGUCCGGAAGAGGAGAGUGGAAUUCCUGGUGUAGCGGUGAAAUGCGCAGAUAUCAGGAAGAACACCAGUGGCGAAGGCGGCUCACUGGCCCGGUACUGACGCUGAGGCACGAAAGCGUGGGGAGCAAACAGG